rnacentral:lncRNA from 1 species
GGCUCUCCCACUGGGCCCUGCCUCUUGAAGUUUCCAUUACUUUCCACUCUGCCUCUCAGGGACCAGGCCUUUAACCACAUGCACCUCUACAGGGUGGGUGGGGAUGUCUCCAAACCUUAGCAAGGAGAUGGCCCACAUCAGGAGGCACCCUGCAUCAGGAGGCAUAGUUUUUGGUGUUGGUUACCCACAGUCAACCUUGGUCUGAAAACAUGGAGUGGAAAAUUCCAGAAAUAAACACCCCACCAGAACAUCAGUUUCCUGAGGAGCCUCUGCUCCUUGCUCGUGGAUACAGCUGUCAGAGCAGCGCUGACCACUGUGCCUCUGGUUGUGGCACCGACACAAAGACCAGCUGACUCCUACGUACGUCUCUUAGGUUUCUGGCCAAGGACUACCCCUUCAGGAGCUCUUCACUGCUGUCCUCCCUUGUCCUGCUGUCCUUGCCCCACCCAGCCCUUGUGACACUGUGGGCUCCAGUACAGCUGGGCUGUUCAGUGUACCCAGGAGAUGGGGCUUAAUAGUCCUGUCCUGGAGCUUGGAAUGUAACUCAAGGGCAGUGGACAUCGUAGAGGGGCAUUGCACUUUGGCAGAAACGUGUGGCUGUUUUUGGGGGGAGGCAUUGGGCAGAGGGCAGGAGUGGAUGCAGGAGAGCAGUUAGGAGGUGACUUCUGUGGCCCAGGGGAGAAUUGACAAUGGCCAA